GGUGAUCUUUUGCGCCGUCUUCUUGCUUGAUGUCUUCCGAGCGGUGGCGGCGCCGGGUGGAAGGCUGACUUAUCCGUGAGGCCCCGCGCUCAGGCUGCUUUCUCCCGCUGGUCGGUAGAGCGGACCCCCUGCUUCCUCCUUGCCUCUUCUUCUAGUCUGUGGCUCAGUCCACUCGCUGGGCUGCAAACUGAGCCCCCUCCCGCCUUUCAGGUAGGCCACGGGAGGAGCCUGGGAGGCCCGGCCCGGCCCGGCAUCCUUCCGCCGCCGGGUUGAGAAGACCUUGGCGCCGGCGGGUGGGCGGCGGGUCGGCAGCGGAGACACGGCCGGAGGAGGAACUACCCGGCUGAAUUCGGGGGCGCGGUCGGUGAGGCGGCGGGAAACUGAGGGAGAAGCCGGAAGGACGCAGAGAUGGUGGGGCUGCCCGGUGCGGUUCGUAGGGAGGGGACGUUGGCUCUGGGGCGGGUGUCGGUACCCCCAGUGUGUGGGGAAAGUCGCUUUCCAGGAACGGAUAGAGCUUUGCGCGCUUUGGCUCUCCUCUCUUCCUCCCUCUCCGCCCCCCAAAGGCUCCGAGUGUCAUGACUCAGUUGCACUGGGGACACUUUCUGACUCUGGCCUUUGAAGGGGCCUUUGAAUAGGUGGAGGCUUGUGGAACAGGGCCCUCUGGCUCCUCUGAGCGAAGUGUCAUGUUCUCGCCCUUUUUGGGUAGGGAAACUGAGGCUGAUCUAGUACGUGACUUUUCCCCGUAGCCCUGACAGAUCUUGAAAUGCACCGUAAGUCAUUUUUUGUUGUUUACCAAUUCAAUUUUUCCCCCCCCCAGUUUACCAGUCAUUUUAUCCACAUAGUGAUUUGCCGUUUGAUUGUCUGUAAUCCCUCCUUCCUAGGAAUAUAGAGUCCGUCACUGGGGAUUGCAGAAGUAAAGGGACCACGCGAUCUUUGGCUGGUUUGCUUUUGAAAGUCUGUAUCAUUUUAGCGAGAGUAGAAAGAAACAAUUUCUUUGUUUCUUGGUAGAAAAUUUUGUUUGCUGUCUGUUUUGCUUUCUGGUUGAUACUUAUUUCUCCUUCUUCCUCUCAGCCUGCUUCUCUUUGGAAGUCUUUCAACUGUGGUGUUAAGUGGUUAACGUCCUGCAGGGGAUGGUCAAGAUUUUGAAGUCAGAUAUUUAUCCUCAGAGAGUGCUUUCUAGGAAGAGUCCGAAUAAAACACAAGGAGUCUCGUUCGGACCAGUUUUGUAUUUGCUUAGUGGCUUAGUUACUGCAUAUACUAGAGUUAAAAAGCCUGUGUGUAGGAAUCAUUCAACUAUUGAGAUAUUUAAAUGGAAAGUUAGCAUUCUGGGGAUUCCAUUAUGUUUUCCUUUUCUCUCCCAGCUUGGAAAUUUUGGAGACUACACGUUCUUACUCGUUUUAUUUUCAUUGGAUUCAGUGUCAUGAUUCUAAUUUGUGUAAUAUCUUUGUUGAAGAAAGUAACCUAGAGGUCAUUCUAAGUUGAAUAAGUAUUUCCACAAUACAUCUGUAGAAUCAGUAGGAGAUAGGCUUUCUUAAGGGAGAAGAGACUAAAUUUGUAGUCCUUGGAUGGAAACUAUACAAGUCUAUGUUCUUUAACAGAUUUAGACUUCUCAUAUGAGUUUUGGAAGGAUUAUUGUUCCUUAUUAUUAUUAUUGUUAUAUUAUUAUUUUGGUGAGGUCAGCAGGAUUUAAAUGAAGGGCCCUUGAUCAUGAGUGAUUUCCUAGUUACCAGGACCUUAGUGCUCCCAGAAAGGGAUUCAUGAAGAGUCCUGAGACUAUCUUUAUGGAGAAUCUACUUUGGGAAGUUAGGCUAAGAAUGUGUGUUCUCUGGAAAAGUUUUUAUGGUAGAAGAGAAUUUAUAUCAGAGGAAAAAAUUUAGAGAAGGAAGGGACAUUACCCUCUGGAGAUUGAUAGGUUCUGCAUAGAAUUUAGAGUUAGUGUAGUAUCUCAGUGGCUACUAAUGAAUGCUAAAUAAUAAAUAGAAUUUGCUCUGAGUGUCAGGAAGAAAUGUUAGGAACAUUUUGUUAUGCUUCCGUAGAAAAUAAUUAGCAGAGGUUUAAGUUGAAUUGAGGAGGACAAGAAAUCUGGUUGUGCUGGUGGGGAGGGGUAGAGCUUCUUAUCAGCUUCUCCCCUGCUUUGUGAUAGAAAUUCACUCAACUCUUACCUUUCUUGGUUAAAUCUUGUGUUCUUUCAAAGUCGAUCAAGCUCUCUCCUGGCAUUUCUUUUCAGAAUUUACAAAUUCAGGAUGUGACUGAAUUAUUCUGUCUUCUCUUCUCUUGGGGAUUGUUAAAGAUGUGAAGUUCUUCGAAUGUCUUCUAGAACUUGUCCUAGAAGGAGUUAUGUAUAGCACUUGAAAAAGAUUAGUUAUGUAUAUCACUUUGAAAGCAAUCAGUUAUUUUUAUUAACAGAGUAAUAACUUAUUUUUAUACUGUAUAAUUUUCAAAAUAUUUUCGGCUUGUGUUAGGAUAUUUAUGAAACUUUUAUUCUUUUGAUCAUGCUCCUUUAUGCUGCUUAUUAACACUGAAUCCAGAACAAACAUUUAUGGCCUUCAAGGAUCUUUAUGAACGUUUAUGUUGACAUUUUAUGUUGACAAUUUAUCUCACUCUUCCCAUUUAUCUCACUCUUAAAGGAAUUGGAGAAAAAGUUUGUUGUUAGCACACUGAGGUCUCUUUUUUUAAGAUACUUCUCAUCCCUGAUAGAGUUACUUUGGAAUGGGAUGCAAAUCUUUUUGCCCAGUGGUUUGGUUUACC
rnacentral:lncRNA from 1 species